GACGAACGCGGCGGCGUGCUUAACACAUGCAAGUCGAACGGGUCUGCCUUGUUUUUUGCGGGGUGGGUUAGUGGCGAACGGGUGAGUAACACGUGAGUAACCUGCCCCUCACUUCUGGAUAACCGCUUGAAAGGGUGGCUAAUACGGGGUGUUCUGGCUGUGCCGCAUGGUGUGGCUGGGAAAGAUUCACUUUUGUGGUGUUUUGGUGGGGGAUGGGCUCGCGGCCUAUCAGCUUGUUGGUGGGGUGAUGGCCUGCCAAGGCUUUGACGGGUAGCCGGCCUGAGAGGGUGGGCGGUCACACUGGGACUGAGAUACGGCCCAGACUCCUGCGGGAGGCAGCAGUGGGGGGUAUUGCACAAUGGGCGGAAGCCUGAUGCAGCGACGUCGCGUGAGGGAUGGAGGCCUUCGGGUUGUGAACCUCUUUCGCCGGUGAAGAAGGUCCUGUUCUUUGUGGUGGGGCUGACCGGUAAGCCGGGUUAUG
rnacentral:rRNA from 1 species